CUAAUAUCAGACAUUUCCUCUAGAAACUAGGAGCUUAACACUUCAAGGAGAUCAUGAAGAAGGACAGAAUAUUGUUGUUUAUUAGAGCAUAAUAUGAAAUGCUAUUCAGUUUCAGCAUUAGAAUGACAAAUGCAAUCUUAAACAUGGCUGGUGACAGGUUAGAUGCCUUCACACAGGCACUUAAUUAGCAGUGUGGAAGUGCUUAUUUGGAGCUUCAUCCAGCCAGCCAUGAGCUGGCUCCAAGAUGCAACAAACUGAAAGGGUUGAUGUGCCUUGAUUAUUUCUGUUGCCUUCAUUUGAGCUUUGUUCAUGUUGCUGAAUUGGGUAGGGACAGACAGCCACAAGCUGUCAAGCCAGUUUGUAAUUAAGCCAUGGCUUAGCAUGGCUUAAUAAGUUACUGCUCCACAGACAAGAUGUAAUAAUUGCCUGUGUGCAUGCUCUCAGCUUGUCCAGCAGCUGAAGUAACGUGUUAGUUUAAGUUACUAUAUUCUGCAAGAGUGUCCUACCUGAAAAGCAGUAGUUUGGGUUGGUAACUCAAUUACUUGUGAGCGUAUGUUUGUGUUUUCCCUCUGCGCCACAGAGAGCUCACGACUCAGUGCAGAACUGCAGGUGACACAAGAGAUGGUUUGAUGGGUGAUAUCUCUGACCAUCAGGGUGGCUUACAUCAGAUGCUUUGUUUCAACAUGGCCACUUCAAUUGAGCUCAGACAAGAGAGCUUCGCCUUUUCUGUGACUUUGAUCCAACGUCAGAAUGGUAGUGAUUUCAGUGGAGAAGUCUUUAGCGGGAAGAGGAAGGCACGGCUUGUUGGAUCGCUGAUGUAACAGCAGCUGACAGGCUCACUCCUUUUCAUCACCUUGUGUUGGCACAAACACGUGUGGCUGUGCAGUGUACAGGACUGAGGGAUGAUCUGGCUUAAAACUAACGCAUAUUGAUACACCCAUCUGGUUCCCUAAGCUGCUAUGUAGACAUACGUGCUAGAGCAAGAGGAUGGUGUGGAUGAGGACUCAGAGGCAAUGUACAGAGAUCACUUGUGAUGCACAUCGGAUGCCCCAAUACAUUUGGAUGCUAUUUUAUCUUGAUUUAUGUAGGCAUAUCUACCCUAUGGGAAAUACUUGCAUUUGUCCAGCCUUAACACAUUUCAGCUAUGGGAAAAUAUCAGCAACUCAACUCCUGAGCUCCUGUUGCUGAAACAAGUUAUUUUCCCCAGUUGAACGAUACCCACUCCAGUCAUCCUAAUUUUUAUUUUUAUUAAAAAAAAAAAAAUCAGAUCUGCUUGAUAUAUUCUGCAACAUUAAAUGACAAACAUGCAAAAGGCCACCACUUACUCCUACUUGCAGUAAAUGCAUCUGCUUUGUUAAACUCAGCCACUGUGAACUUCAGGAGAAAAAGUUUUGAAAACAAAGACAGAAGAAAAAGAUACAAAUCCUCCUCUAAACCAAAAAAUACCAAAGUUUCCACUAAACCACUAAAUACCAAAAAAUCCUCCUCUUUGAAGAGAAUAUCCAGCAAGCCGUCCAACAUGUAAAAAUUUUCUGCAUGGCUGACACUUGAGUUCCAAACUUUGUUUUGUAACACAACCACUACUUAUGCUUAAAAAAUGUUAAAAAAAAAAAAUGUAAUCCUUGUAAUGUAAUCCUUCAGCUAGAGCACAGCAGUAUCAACACAUGAUUAUCAUUUGAGUUAACCAUUGGGGCAGGGAUGUUCAGUGGGGAUGAUGGAAAAGAUAGCAAGGAAAUAAAAUUAUCUCAAAGCAUAUCAGCUGCCAAAAGAAUUAAGAAUUUUUUUUUCAUCAGUGGCUAACCUGUUUUAAGAGAUUCUUGAGCUCUGCCCUUCCAAACGCUUGUUUGCAUUUCUCACGAUAAUUCUGUCUUCUCAACAAUUUGAUUUUGUGGCCUUAGUCUGAGAGAAGAGAAACAAACCAAAAUAUGGGAGCUUUUAACACAAUGAAAGCUACUUUGGUUAUUGUCCAUAAAGGCAACAAUUGAGCUGCUAUUUUAGAUGCCCGUGUUACACUAGAAUGAUGUGAAGGAAACAAAGCCUUUUUUCUUUUUUUAGACAAAUAAGCAGCAUAA
ensembl:lncRNA